rnacentral:rRNA from 1 species
AUUGAACGCUGGCGGCAGGCCUAACACAUGCAAGUCGAACGAGUGGCGGACGGGUGAGUAAUGUCUGGGCAACUGCCCGAUGGAGGGGGAUAACUACUGGAAACGGUAGCUAAUACCGCAUACCAUCGGAUGUGCCCAGAUGGGAUUAGCUAGUAGGUGGGGUAACGGCUCACCGGGGCGACGAUCCCUAGCUGGUCUGACAGGAUGACCGGCCACACUGGAACAGAGACACGGUCCAGACGCCUACGGGAGGCAGCAUUGGGGAAUAUUGCACAAUGGGCGAAAGCCUGAUGCAGCCAGGCCGCGUGUAUGAAGAAGGCCUUCGGGUUGUAAAGUACUUUCAGCGAGGAGGCGUUACUCGCAGAAGAAGCACCGGCUAACUCCGUGCCAGCCGCCGCGGUAAUAC